UGGAAAAUCUGCCCAGAAGCAGGGGAUAACACUUGGAAACAGGUGCUAAUACCGUAUAACAACAAAAUCCGCAUGGAUUUUGUUUGAAAGGUGGCUUCGGCUAUCACUUCUGGAUGAUCCCGCGGCGUAUUAGUUAGUUGGUGAGGUAAAGGCCCACCAAGACGAUGAUACGUAGCCGACCUGAGAGGGUAAUCGGCCACAUUGGGACUGAGACACGGCCCAAACUCCUACGGGAGGCAGCAGUAGGGAAUCUUCCACAAUGGACGAAAGUCUGAUGGAGCAAUGCCGCGUGAGUGAAGAAGGGUUUCGGCUCGUAAAACUCUGUUGUUAAAGAAGAACACCUUUGAGAGUAACUGUUCAAGGGUUGACGGUAUUUAACCAGAAAGCCACGGCUAACUACGUGCCAGCAGCCGCGGUAAUACGUAGGUGGCAAGCGUUGUCCGGAUUUAUUGGGCGUAAAGCGAGCGCAGGCGGUUUUUUAAGUCUGAUGUGAAAGCCUUCGGCUUAACCGGAGAAGUGCAUCGGAAACUGGGAGACUUGAGUGCAGAAGAGGACAGUGGAACUCCAUGUGUAGCGGUGGAAUGCGUAGAUAUAUGGAAGAACACCAGUGGCGAAGGCGGCUGUCUAGUCUGUAACUGACGCUGAGGCUCGAAAGCAUGGGUAGCGAACAGGAUUAGAUACCCUGGUAGUCCAUGCCGUAAACGAUGAGUGCUAAGUGUUGGAGGGUUUCCGCCCUUCAGUGCUGCAGCUAACGCAUUAAGCACUCCGCCUGGGGAGUACGACCGCAAGGUUGAAACUCAAAGGAAUUGACGGGGGCCCGCACAAGCGGUGGAGCAUGUGGUUUAAUUCGAAGCUACGCGAAGAACCUUACCAGGUCUUGACAUCUUCUGCCAAUCUUAAAGAUAAGACGUUCCCUUCGGGGACAGAAUGACAGGUGGUGCAAGGUUGUCGUCAGCUCGUGUCGUGAGAUGUUGGGUUAAGUCCCGCAACGAGCGC
rnacentral:rRNA from 2 species